UCUCGAUUGGUCUAGUGGUAAGGAUACCUGCUUGUCAAUAAAUUCUGUUGACCCUACGUUUGUGGAUUCGAUGAGCACAGAAUUGCAGAUCGCAGGUGGCCGGGGUUCGAUUCCCCGAUCGAGAG